GCCGGUGUAGCUCAGUUGGUAGAGCAACGCAUUCGUAAUGCGUAGGUCGGUGGUUCGAGUCCACUCACCGGCACCA
rnacentral:tRNA from 1 species